rnacentral:rRNA from 1 species
UACGGAGGGUGCGAGCGUUAAUCGGAAUUACUGGGCGUAAAGCGCACGCAGGCGGUUUGUUAAGCUAGAUGUGAAAGCCCCGGGCUCAACCUGGGAUGGUCAUUUAGAACUGGCAGACUAGAGUCUUGGAGAGGGGAGUGGAAUUCCAGGUGUAGCGGUGAGAUGCGUAGAUAUCUGGAGGAGCAUCAGUGGCGAAGGCGACUCCCUGGCCAAAGACUGACGCUCAUGUGCGAAAGUGUGGGUAGCGAACAGG